rnacentral:rRNA from 1 species
UGGGGAAUUUUCCGCAAUGGGCGCAAGCCUGACGGAGCAACGCCGCGUGUGGGAUGAAGGCCUGUGGGUUGUAAACCACUUUUCUCAGGGACGAAGCUCUGACGGUACCUGAGGAAUCAGCCUCGGCUAACUCUGUGCCAGCAGCCGCGGUAAGACAGAGGAGGCAAGCGUUAUCCGGAAUUAUUGGGCGUAAAGCGUCCGUAGGUGGUCUGACAAGUCUGGGGUCAAAGCCCGGAGCCCAACUCCGGAUCGGCCUUGGAAACUGUCAGACUGGAGUAAGGUAGGGGUUGCGGGAAUUCCCGGUGUAGCGGUGAAAUGCGUAGAUAUCGGGAAGAACACCAGCGGCGAAAGCGCGCAACUGGGCCAUUACUGACACUGAGGGACGAAAGCUAGGGGAGCGAAUGGGAUUAGAUACCCCAGUAGUC